UACGAAGGGGGGCUAGCGUUGCUCGGAAUCACUGGGCGUAAAGCGCACGUAGGCGGAUUGCUAAGUCAGGGGUGAAAUCCUGGAGCUCAACUCCAGAACUGCCUUUUGAUACUGGCGACCUUGAGUCCGGGGAGAGGUGAGUGGAACUGCGAGUGUAGAGGUGAAAUUCGUAGAUAUUACGCAAGAACACCAGUGGCGAAGGCGGCUCACUGGCCCGGUACUGACGCUGAGGCACGAAAGCGUGGGGAGCAAACAGG
rnacentral:rRNA from 1 species